rnacentral:rRNA from 1 species
GAUGAACGCUAGCGGCAGGCUUAAUACAUGCAAGUCGAGGGGCAGCAUGAUUGUAGCAAUACAAUUGAUGGCGACCGGCAAACGGGUGCGGAACACGUACACAACCUUCCAAUAAGUGGGGAAUAGCCCAGAGAAAUUUGGAUUAAUACCCCGUAACAUAACGAUGUGGCAUCACAUUGUUAUUAUAGAUUUUUCGCUUAUUGAUGGGUGUGCGGCUGAUUAGAUAGUUGGCGGGGUAACGGCCCACCAAGUCUACGAUCAGUAGCUGAUGUGCGAGCAUGAUCAGCCACACGGGCACUGGGACACGGGCCCGACUCCUACGGGAGGCAGCAGUAAGGAAUAUUGGACAAUGGACGCAAGUCUGAUCCAGCCAUGCCGCGUGAAGGAUUAAGGUCCUCUGGAUUGUAAACUUCUUUUAUAAGGGACGAAAAAAGGCUUUUCUAAGUCGUCUGACGGUACCUUAUGAAUAAGCACCGGCUAACUCCGUGCCAGCCGCCGCCGUAAUAC